AGUCUAUUACAUGUAUUCUACACUGACUAGUCUAAUACAUGUAUCCUAUACUGACUAGUCUAUUUAUCCAUUAGGUCUAUUACAUGUAUCCUAUACUGACUAGUCUAUUUAUCUAUUAGGUCUAUUACAUGUAUCCUAUACUGACUAGUCUAUUACAUGUAUCCUAUACUGACUAGUCUAAUACAUGUAUCCUAUACUGACUAGUCUAAUACAUGUAUCCUAUACUGACUAGUCUAAUACAUGUAUCCUAUACUGACUAGUCUAUUACAUGUAUCCUAUACUGACUAGUCUAUUACAUGUAUCCUAUACUGACUAGUCUAAUACAUGUAUCCUAUACUGACUAGUCUAAUACAUGUAUCCUAUACUGACUAGUCUAAUACAUGUAUCCUAUACUGACUAGUCUAAUACAUGUAUCCUAUACUGACUAGUCUAAUACAUGUAUCCUAUACUGACUAGUCUAUUUAUCUAUUAGGUCUAAUACAUGUAUCCUAUACUGAC